UACGUAGGGUGCGAGCGUUAAUCGGAAUUACUGGGCGUAAAGCGUGCGCAGGCGGUCUGUUAAGACCGAUGUGAAAUCCCCGGGCUUAACCUGGGAACUGCAUUGGUGACUGGCAGGCUUUGAGUGUGGCAGAGGGAGGUAGAAUUCCACGUGUAGCAGUGAAAUGCGUAGAGAUCGGGAGGAACACCAGUGGCGAAGGCGGCCCCCUGGGCCGGGCCUGACGCUGAGACGCGAAAGCGCGGGGAGCGAACGGG
rnacentral:rRNA from 1 species